GACCCUCCGCCCUUUUGCUCUGUCGCUGUUGCCGUGUGAGCGCGCGUAAAUGGGAAUCGGCUCCGUGCGCCGUAACCGCGUGGUGUGGCGGCCGGCCCGCAGUAAGACCCGGGAAACCGCGGCCAGUGAGGCGGCUUGGCCUCUCUCCGGGCAAGGAAAUGGAAAACCAAGCAAUAAAUGACAUUGGAUAGAAGAAAUGUGCAUCUAAGAAUUACCAUCAGAAAAGCUGAACCAUGAAAUAAGUGCUUAAACAUGGAGCAACAUUAAAGGAUAUGUGCAGAGGCAUGUCAACACCCUGUAUAUGUCAUUGGAAUAGUUGUGGAUCGUGAUCAUGAAGGGGAGGAAAGCCACAAGUUUAGAUUUUUGUGAAGUAGAAUGCAACAAAUUUUUAACUUGAGAAUAAAAUUAUCUUGUUGAAACAGGAGUAAUGCAAGAUUUGAGAUUUUGUAAAUAUUCUCAAUUCACUUGUUCAAACUGAUUAUGAUAUCUCUGGAGCAGGUAGGACUUGAAUCCAGAUCCUGUGGUGCCAAAGCAGGGACACUUGUGACUUUUUUGUAUUCUUGAACACUACUGUGAUUUAUCUACGAUUGUGUUUGUAGUUAUCUUCAUGUGUUUUAGGUAUUGUAAUUACUAAUUGAUGAUAUGCACUAAUAAAUAUAUGAUAGUGCCGAA